AAAAAUGCUUUGAUGGAGAGAAAGAUAUCUAAACUUAUUUACAGAGAGUUGGAAAAGGUGAAAACCAACAUUAAGAAGAUAUGUAAUAUUCACUCCUAAGCUGAUUCGUUAAACCCAUUCUGCAAGUAGACGAAUCCGAAAACCCAUCGUUAUAGGGGAUAGGACUGUUAGGUCUGAUUGAGUGAUGACUUUUUGUCAUAAUUAGGGUGGUACCACGGAGAUAAAAUCUUUCGUCCCUAUA
rnacentral:ncRNA from 1 species